rnacentral:rRNA from 1 species
AUGAACUAUGGACACUACUCCGCCAAGUCUGCCUACGAGGUCCAAUUCAGAGGAUUGAUUGAUACUGACCUCGUACAAACUCUUUGGAAGAACUGGGUGCCCCCCAAUGCCAGUUUUUUUGCUUGGCUUGUCAUAAAUAAAAGGAUUUGGACAACAGAUCGACUCCAAAGAAGAGGAUGGCCUAACUGCAACCUAUGCCCCCUUUGUAAGCACAUCCAAGAAACAGCGGCUCAUCUUCUCUUUUAUUGCAGAUACACAACAAGAGUUUGGGACAUGAUCAAGGGAUGGCUGGGUAUGCAUGAUGUGAACCUACUACAAUGGGGUCAAAUGGAGUCUGUUAAAGAGUGGUGGAGCCUUAAUGCAACCAGCAGGAUGCAAUUCUGACGACCACUCAUCUCCCUAAUGCUUCUCAUAUCAUGGGAAAUAUGGAAGGAACGCAAUGCCAGGGUCUUCCUCAACGUUGUAGUGCCGGUUGGAGUAAUCAUAGCUAAGAUUAAAGAGGAAUGUAGUCUAUGGGGUCUUGCUGGGGCGAAGUAUUUGCGUACUCUAAUGCCUCGAGAGUGA